UUAAGCGACUAAGCGUACACGGUGGAUGCCCUGGCAGUCAGAGGCGAUGAAGGACGUGCUAAUCUGCGAUAAGCGUCGGUAAGGUGAUAUGAACCGUUAUAACCGGCGAUUUCCGAAUGGGGAAACCCAGUGUGAUUCGUCACACUAUCAUUAACUGAAUCCAUAGGUUAAUGAGGCGAACCGGGGGAACUGAAACAUCUAAGUACCCCGAGGAAAAGAAAUCAACCGAGAUUCCCCCAGUAGCGGCGAGCGAACGGGGAGCAGCCCAGAGCCUGAAUCAGUGUGUGUGUUAGUGGAAGCGUCUGGAAAGGCGCGCGAUACAGGGUGACAGCCCCGUACACAAAAAUGCACAUGCUGUGAGCUCGAUGAGUAGGGCGGGACACGUGGUAUCCUGUCUGAAUAUGGGGGGACCAUCCUCCAAGGCUAAAUACUCCUGACUGACCGAUAGUGAACCAGUACCGUGAGGGAAAGGCGAAAAGAACCCCGGCGAGGGGAGUGAAAAAGAACCUGAAACCGUGUACGUACAAGCAGUGGGAGCACGCUUAGGCGUGUGACUGCGUACCUUUUGUAUAAUGGGUCAGCGACUUAUAUUCUGUAGCAAGGUUAACCGAAUAGGGGAGCCGAAGGGAAACCGAGUCUUAACUGGGCGUUAAGUUGCAGGGUAUAGACCCGAAACCCGGUGAUCUAGCCAUGGGCAGGUUGAAGGUUGGGUAACACUAACUGGAGGACCGAACCGACUAAUGUUGAAAAAUUAGCGGAUGACUUGUGGCUGGGGGUGAAAGGCCAAUCAAACCGGGAGAUAGCUGGUUCUCCCCGAAAGCUAUUUAGGUAGCGCCUCGUGAAUUCAUCUCCGGGGGUAGAGCACUGUUUCGGCAAGGGGGUCAUCCCGACUUACCAACCCGAUGCAAACUGCGAAUACCGGAGAAUGUUAUCACGGGAGACACACGGCGGGUGCUAACGUCCGUCGUGAAGAGGGAAACAACCCAGACCGCCAGCUAAGGUCCCAAAGUCAUGGUUAAGUGGGAAACGAUGUGGGAAGGCCCAGACAGCCAGGAUGUUGGCUUAGAAGCAGCCAUCAUUUAAAGAAAGCGUAAUAGCUCACUGGUCGAGUCGGCCUGCGCGGAAGAUGUAACGGGGCUAAACCAUGCACCGAAGCUGCGGCAGCGACGCUNGAAGGUGUGCUGUGAGGCAUGCUGGAGGUAUCAGAAGUGCGAAUGCUGACAUAAGUAACGAUAAAGCGGGUGAAAAGCCCGCUCGCCGGAAGACCAAGGGUUCCUGUCCAACGUUAAUCGGGGCAGGGUGAGUCGACCCCUAAGGCGAGGCCGAAAGGCGUAGUCGAUGGGAAACAGGUUAAUAUUCCUGUACUUGGUGUUACUGCGAAGGGGGGACGGAGAAGGCUAUGUUGGCCGGGCGACGGUUGUCCCGGUUUAAGCGUGUAGGCUGGUUUUCCAGGCAAAUCCGGAAAAUCAAGGCUGAGGCGUGAUGACGAGGCACUACGGUGCUGAAGCAACAAAUGCCCUGCUUCCAGGAAAAGCCUCUAAGCAUCAGGUAACAUCAAAUCGUACCCCAAACCGACACAGGUGGUCAGGUAGAGAAUACCAAGGCGCUUGAGAGAACUCGGGUGAAGGAACUAGGCAAAAUGGUGCCGUAACUUCGGGAGAAGGCACGCUGAUAUGUAGGUGAAGUCCCUCGCGGAUGGAGCUGAAAUCAGUCGAAGAUACCAGCUGGCUGCAACUGUUUAUUAAAAACACAGCACUGUGCAAACACGAAAGUGGACGUAUACGGUGUGACGCCUGCCCGGUGCCGGAAGGUUAAUUGAUGGGGUCAGCCGCAAGGCGAAGCUCUUGAUCGAAGCCCCGGUAAACGGCGGCCGUAACUAUAACGGUCCUAAGGUAGCGAAAUUCCUUGUCGGGUAAGUUCCGACCUGCACGAAUGGCGUAAUGAUGGCCAGGCUGUCUCCACCCGAGACUCAGUGAAAUUGAACUCGCUGUGAAGAUGCAGUGUACCCGCGGCAAGACGGAAAGACCCCGUGAACCUUUACUAUAGCUUGACACUGAACAUUGAGCCUUGAUGUGUAGGAUAGGUGGGAGGCUUUGAAGUGUGGACGCCAGUCUGCAUGGAGCCGACCUUGAAAUACCACCCUUUAAUGUUUGAUGUUCUAACGUUGACCCGUAAUCCGGGUUGCGGACAGUGUCUGGUGGGUAGUUUGACUGGGGCGGUCUCCUCCUAAAGAGUAACGGAGGAGCACGAAGGUUGGCUAAUCCUGGUCGGACAUCAGGAGGUUAGUGCAAUGGCAUAAGCCAGCUUGACUGCGAGCGUGACGGCGCGAGCAGGUGCGAAAGCAGGUCAUAGUGAUCCGGUGGUUCUGAAUGGAAGGGCCAUCGCUCAACGGAUAAAAGGUACUCCGGGGAUAACAGGCUGAUACCGCCCAAGAGUUCAUAUCGACGGCGGUGUUUGGCACCUCGAUGUCGGCUCAUCACAUCCUGGGGCUGAAGUAGGUCCCAAGGGUAUGGCUGUUCGCCAUUUAAAGUGGUACGCGAGCUGGGUUUAGAACGUCGUGAGACAGUUCGGUCCCUAUCUGCCGUGGGCGCUGGAGAACUGAGGGGGGCUGCUCCUAGUACGAGAGGACCGGAGUGGACGCAUCACUGGUGUUCGGGUUGUCAUGCCAAUGGCACUGCCCGGUAGCUAAAUGCGGAAGAGAUAAGUGCUGAAAGCAUCUAAGCACGAAACUUGCCCCGAGAUGAGUUCUCCCUGACUCCUUGAGAGUCCUGAAGGAACGUUGAAGACGACGACGUUGAUAGGCCGGGUGUGUAAGCGCAGCGAUGCGUUGAGCUAACCGGUACUAAUGAACCGUGAGGCUUAACCUU
rnacentral:rRNA from 1 species